GGGGACAAGUCCAGGGACGCAGUGGCCGGUGAUGGAGGAGUCUUCAUGGAGGGGACGGGGGUUCCUUGUGCCACCACGGUGCCAGAGGACACAGGGAUCCUCGUCACCACGGUCUAUGGAGAGGACUUGGACAUGGUGGCCAAUGCUGGAGACACCUUCGUGGAGAAGAUGAAGGAUCCUGGUGCCACCACGGUGCCCGGGGACACGGGGACCCCCGUGACCACGGAUGGGACCACAGUGGGACAUGUCACCAUGGUCUACGGAGGAGACAGGGACACGGUGGCCAAUGAUGGAGAUGUCUUCCUGGAGGGGACGCAGGGACCCAGUGUCACCACCAUGUCGGGGGACGCGGGGACCCCCGUCACCAGUGUCUACACCAUGGAUGUGGUAGGACAUGUCAUCCAGGGAGGUGACAGGGACGCGGUGGCCACCGAUGGAGGCAUCUUCAUGGAGGGGACGGAGGAUCCUGAUGCCACCACGGUGCCCGGGGACACGGAGACCCCCGUGACCACGAUCUACGGAGGGGACAUGGACACGGUGGCCACCGAUGAAGGUGUCUUCAUGGAGGGGACGCAGGGACCAGGUGCCACCACGGAGCUUGGGGACAUGAGUACCUCCAUCACCACGCUCCAUGCCAUGGACAGGACCAC
rnacentral:lncRNA from 1 species